rnacentral:rRNA from 1 species
GUGCUUGCACUGGCUGUCGAGUGGCGCACGGGUGAGUAAUGUAUAGCUUACGUGCCCCAUAGAGGGGGAUAACUACUAGAAAUGGUAGCUAAUACCCCAUACUCCUUAUAGUAGGGAUACUAUAAGGGAAAGGAGUAAUCCGCUAUGGGAUCGGGCUAUAUCGUAUCAGCUAGUUGGUGAGGUAAAGGCUCACCAAGGCGAUGACGCNUAGCUGGUCUGAGAGGAUGAUCAGCCACACUGGAACUGAUACACGGUCCAGACUCCUACNGGAGGCAGCAGUGGGGAAUAUUGCACAAUGGGGGAAACCCUGAUGCAGCAACGCCGCGUGGAGGAUGACGCAUUUCGGUGUGUAAACUCCUUUUAUAUGGGAAGAUGAUGACGGUNCCAUAUGAAUAAGCACCGGCUAACUCCG